rnacentral:rRNA from 1 species
GACGAACGCUGGCGGCGUGCUUAACACAUGCAAGUCGAACGAUGAUGCUGGAGCUUGCUCCAGUUGAUUAGUGGCGAACGGGUGAGUAACACGUGAGCAAUCUGCCCUUGACUCUGGGAUAACUGCGGGAAACUGUAGCUAAUACCGGAUACUUUCACCGGAAGGCAUCUUCAGGUGAUGAAAGAAUUUCGGUCAGGGAUGAGCUCGCGGCCUAUCAGCUUGUUGGUGAGGUAACGGCUCACCAAGGCGACGACGGGUAACCGGCCUGAGAGGGUGACCGGUCACGCUGGGACUGAGACACGGCCCAGACUCCUACGGGAGGCAGCAGUGGGGAAUAUUGCACAAUGGGCGCAAGCCUGAUGCAGCAACGCCGCGUGAGGGAUGAAGGCCUUCGGGUUGUAAACCUCUUUUAGCAGGGAAGAAGCGAAAGUGACGGUACCUGCAGAAAAAGCACCGGCUAACUACGUGCCAGCCGCCGCAGUAA